rnacentral:rRNA from 1 species
UACGUAGGGGUCUAGCGUUGUUCGGAUUUACUGGCGUAAAGGGCGCGUAGGCGGCGCAACAAGUCACUUGUGAAAUCUCCGGGCUUAACCCGGAGCGGCCAAGUGAUACUGUCGUGCUAGAGUGCGGAAGGGGCUACUGGAAUUCUCGGUGUAGCGGUGAAAUGCGUAGAUAUCGAGAGAACACCUGCGGCGAAGGCGGGUAGCUGGGC